rnacentral:rRNA from 1 species
UACGUAGGUGGCAAGCGUUGUCCGGAAUUACUGGGUGUAAAGCGCGUGUAGGCGGCAGACCAAGUCGGCGGUGAAAGCGCCCGGCUCAACUGGGCGAGGUCCGUGGAAACUGGUCAGCUGGAGGACGGUAGAGGCGAGUGGAAUUCCCGGUGUAGUGGUGAAAUGCGUAGAGAUCGGGAGGAACACCUGUGGCGAAGGCGGCUCGCUGGGCCGGUCCUGACGCUGAGACGCGAAGGCGUGGGGAGCGAACAGG